rnacentral:rRNA from 1 species
CAGCCGCCACGGUAACACGUAGGGUGCAAGCGUUAAUCGGAAUUACUGGGCGUAAAGCGUGCGCAGGCGGUUAUAUAAGACAGAUGUGAAAUCCCCGGGCUCAACCUGGGAACUGCAUUUGUGACUGUAUAGCUAGAGUACGGCAGAGGGGGAUGGAAUUCCGCGUGUAGCAGUGAAAUGCGUAGAUAUGCGGAGGAACACCGAUGGCGAAGGCAAUCCCCUGGGCCUGUACUGACGCUCAUGCACGAAAGCGUGGGGAGCAAACAGGAUUAGAUACCCCAGUAGUCCCUGUCUCUUAUAC